rnacentral:misc_RNA from 1 species
GAUGAAAACGUAGUGAAAUGCGAUAAGUAGUGUGAAUUGCAGAAUUCAGUGAAUCAUCGAAUCUUUGAACGCACAUUGCGCCCCUUGGUAUUCCAUGGGGCAUGCCUGUUCGAGCGUCAUUUGUACCUUCAAGCUUUGCUUGGUGUUGGGUGUUUGUCUCGCCUUUGCGUGUAGACUCGCCUUAAAAUAAUUGGCAGCCGGCGUAUUGAUUUCGGAGCGCAGUACAUCUCGCGCUUUGCACUCAUAACGACAGCGUCCAAAAGUACAUUUUACACUCUUGACCUCGGAUCAGGUAGGGAUACCCGCUGAACUUAAGCAUAUCAAUAAGCGGAGGA